rnacentral:rRNA from 1 species
AGAUUGAACGCUGGCGGCAGGCCUAACACAUGCAAGUCGAGCGGCAGCACGGGUACUUGUACCUGGUGGCGAGCGGCGGACGGGUGAGUAAUGCCUAGGAAUCUGCCUGGUAGUGGGGGAUAACGCUCGGAAACGGACGCUAAUACCGCAUACGUCCUACGGGAGAAAGCAGGGGACCUUCGGGCCUUGCGCUAUCAGAUGAGCCUAGGUCGGAUUAGCUAGUUGGUGGGGUAAUGGCUCACCAAGGCGACGAUCCGUAACUGGUCUGAGAGGAUGAUCAGUCACACUGGAACUGAGACACGGUCCAGACUCCUACGGGAGCAGCAGUGGGGAAUAUUGGACAAUGGGGCGAAGACGUCCGUAGACU